CCUGUAGAAAGGAUAUAGCGGGUUGGAUGAAGGAUGGAUGGUUUGCAGCAGUUAUUUUUUUAUUUUUUAAAGCUUUACACGUACUUUUGACAGAAAUUUUCUCAAUCUGAAAUACUUUGACAGCAAGGUGUUUUAAUAUCUGAACAGCUAAUAAAGUCUUGAAUGUUUUGUUCUGUAAUAUAAAUAUUUUACAUCAGGAAGUACAGUAUAUUGUAGUUGCAUAAUAUACAGUAUAAAAUAAUUAAGCUGAAUAAGAUCAUUUCCCACAUUAUUACAGUGUAUGAGAAGCCUAAGGAGUAUUUCUUUUUAUGUUGUUUAAUAAUACAAAACAUUUUUAUUUUUUUGCAUGGCGUGAGUGAUGAAAAUGGAACAGGUGGACUGAUGACUGAAAAUUUUAUCUGAAUACUGACAGUUAAGGACAAGUGAGCCGACAGAAGUGCAAACACGGAAUGCUUAAGGAUGGCGUAUUUAUAAGCAUUGGUUUUAAAUAAACCGAAGACGAAGGAGCAACGUAUUACAAAGUAUUGCUCUGGAGAAAUGGAUUUGAGCUGGAAGCAGAGGAAAGACUAGCAGUUCCACAAGUACUGGC